GGCCCCUUGGUCAAGCGGCUAAGACGCCGCCCUCUCACGGCGGAAUCGCGAGUUCGAUUCUCGCAGGGGUCACCA
rnacentral:tRNA from 1 species